CAGAGCGUAGCCAAAUUAGAAUAGCGUCUCCCUUACACUGAGAAGGUACCUGUGCAAGUCAGGUCGCCCUGA
rnacentral:tRNA from 1 species